UUUAGUGAGAUUAUCCACAUGAAGUAUCCAGAUUUGGAGAACCAGUUCAAUACAACUGGUGCGCGUUUGAGAGCAGGAAAAAGGGACUUAGACGAUAUAGUUUGUGAAAUGCAAGAUAAACUGUGUCAAUUCAAGGGCGAUCUAUUGGAGGAAGAGGCUUUGAUCAAUUCACUGUGCAAGAGCAAGAGCUCCAUGGACGCACUUUUAACGGCGCGUGAGCGGCACUUAAAAUUGUGGAAUGGCUUCAUGGAUCGUAAAGAUAUAUUCCAGACGGUCGCCACGAGUGUGUCUGACAUAUUCAUUGCUUUGACGCACAUGCAUAGCUGCAAAAAUGUCUAUCAGUUUUCUUUUCAAACUUUUAAAAUGAAAUUCUUAGAGCUGCUUAAAAGGAGAUUUAGCCAAGCAGAGACAGAAGAGAACCUGAAGAAAUCGGUAGAGAGUUUCAAGAAAUGCGUGAUCACAGAACUUAUUAAUUAUUUCGCUCACUGUUUCUGCCGUCAAGAUAUGGAAUUAUUUUGUCACAUAAUUUCCGGCAGUUUCGAGAGGCGCGAAAUUCGUCAGAAUCAGGGUGAUGACGGGAAAGAAGA